GGGGGCGACCUGGCUUUGACGUGGGUGGCAAAACCCGAGGGGCAUGCCGAGGUGCAGUGGACCUCGUAAAACUCUGCUGCAAACAACAUAGUUGCCAACG
rnacentral:tmRNA from 1 species